rnacentral:tRNA from 1 species
UGUGGGGUAGUUCAACCGGCAGAACGCCGGGCCUCGGCCCGGAGGCCGGCGGUUCGAGUCCGCCCCCCACAG